UCCGACCUCAGAUCGGACGAAAUUACCCGCUGAAUUUAAGCAUAUCACUAAGCGGA
rnacentral:rRNA from 1 species